rnacentral:rRNA from 1 species
UUCCAGACUCCUACGGGAGGCAGCAGUGGGGAAUAUUGCACAAUGGGGGAAACCCUGAUGCAGCGACGCCGCGUGAGCGAAGAAGUAUUUCGGUAUGUAAAGCUCUAUCAGCAGGGAAGAAAAUGACGGUACCUGAGUAAGAAGCUCCGGCUAAAUACGUGCCAGCAGCCGCGGUAAUACGUAUGGAGCAAGCGUUAUCCGGAUUUACUGGGCGUAAAGGGAGCGUAGGCGGCCUGCCAAGUCUGAUGUGAAAUACCGGGGCUCAACCCCGGGGCUGCAUUGGAAACUGUGCAGCUCGAGUGCAGGAGAGGUAAGCGGAAUUCCUAGUGUAGCGGUGAAAUGCGUAGAUAUUAGGAGGAACACCAGUGGCGAAGGCGGCUUACUGGACUGUAACUGACGUUGAGGCUCGAAAGCGUGGGGAGCAAACAGGAUUAGAUACCCCAGUA